GUGAGCCGCGGGUUCAGCGGGGCAGGGCGCGCCAGGAUGCUGAGCUCCGCCACCCUGUCCAGCCAGCAACCCCGAGACUGGAGCGACCCAGAAAGAAGCAAAGGCUCUUUCGUCCAGUAGCCGCUGUAGGACCGAAAGUUUUGCUCGCUGCAAGUCCCUUCCUCCCAGAGUCCCAGUCACCCACCGUGCGACGUCCCGGAAGGAUCCUGGAGGCUUAGUGGGGAAAAAAUCGGCUGUCUUGCACCCCUCCAUCCCUAUCUCUCAGGGCAGGGCAGGGACUCUAGCGAGUACACCUCCCAGCUACCAUCCACUUCACCCUGUCUCCUCUCUCGGUGAGUCUUGGAACCCGGUCGCUUCGCAGAUGCCUUCAGGAGUCCGAAGCAAAGGGGAAAUGGACAUAACCCCGAGAAGCAGACCCAGCACUUCUAUGGAGCGUGCAGGUCGGCCAGAGGACUUCGCAUCCCCACCCCAACCUGACUGCCAGGAGUGUGGACGCGUGGUGCUUUGAGAUGUCUCUUCUGACCCCAGGGGCAGAUACUGAACGUCCAGCCUCAGCAACAGCUUUGCCACCAUGAGCUUCUUUGAUCACACCCAACCGCUACAACUAGGGAGACCUAAACCUUGCUCACUGACAGCAUUUGAAGAUCCAAAUGCUGCUAUAGAUUGGAAGGUGCCUGUGGAAUGAAAGGGGACAUAGCCGUGUAAGGACAACAUCUUCUGGUGCCGGGUUACUUGUAGACCAUUGCUUUCCUAGUCCAAAUGGGGGACGGCUCAGUGCUUAGGCACAGCCCUACAGGCAGCUCUUAUCGCCAAUUCGUGGAUGAUGAAAUUGAGUGUAUCAGGGACGCUCCUUCCCAUCAUUUUCCCCAAUCUCCUAGAUAUCAAACGCAUGGCCAACGCUACUGCAGUGCACUGUGCCUCUUCUCUCUGCUAUUCAUGUCACAGGCAUUGUAGAUUUCUCACGACAACCUGCCUGGCAAAUGGCUAUGAGGUGGCAUCAGGAAUCUGCAAACUCUCUAAGGCUCACGAUGGACUAGAAGGACCAGAGGAGGGACGGCGUCAUCGAUGACUUUGCAUGAGUCACCAGCUCCACUGAGAGUUUUACUGUUUGCUAGAUCAGGAGUCACUCUCCCUGUGACCACACAGGGAGAGUGCUCUGUGGAGUACAGAGCAGUCUCCAGGAAAGUGUUUAAGUUGGCUAUUUCCCAAGAACUCUCUCAUGUUCGGGAGAUACAAUGCCUUGGGUCAUGGAAUAAUAAGAUGGCCUUGGUUCUAAUGUUGCUUGACUCACCCUACACUGGACCAGGAGGAGACACUGACAUACAUCAGCUUAAUAAAUUUGACAGUGAGGAGGGCCAGCAUGUGUGGUUUCAAUUACAGAUUGACCCAGGAUUGAUUGAGCUGUCCGCUCUGCUCUGGCAGUGAUGGAGC